GUGUCAGCCGCCGCGGUAAUACAGAGGUCCCAAGCGUUGUUCGGAUUCACUGGGCGUAAAGGGUGCGUAGGUGGCGGUGUAAGUCUGAUGUGAAAGCUUCGAGCUUAACUCGAAAAUGGCAUUGGAUACUAUAUUGCUGGAGGUUUGGAGGGGGGACUGGAAUUCUCGGUGUAGCAGUGAAAUGCGUAGAUAUCGAGAGGAACACCGGUGGCGAAGGCGAGUCCCUGGACAACACCUGACACUGAGGCACGAAAGCUAGGGGAGCAAACAGGAUUAGAUACCCUUGUAGUCC
rnacentral:rRNA from 1 species